AAAACAAUUUAGAUUUUUUGACAAUAAAAAAAAUAAUAUGUGGAUGCCACCACGUUUCUAUAUUUGUGCCACCACUUUCUUUUAAUGUUCUUGUCACAAAUAAUUUAUUUUCCUUUCACCUAAAUCACAACGUACACAGUUGUUGUACAUUAAAAAAGUUGACGCUUUUAUUUAGUUGUUGUAUGAAGCUGAAAAAUAUGGCAUGUCAAUCGGCUGGUCUACAAUUAACAAAAGUGUACAUGCAAAAAAGGAACUAUGAAACUAAGAGAAGGAAAGAGAUGGAACUAGUUCCAGCAGUUUCUAACUUGAUUCAGUUUCAAUGGACUAGUUCCAUGCGGAAAUACCCAACUCUAGUGAGCACACAUACAAGGACCUUAAGAUUGCACUUAUCACAAGUACUGGUUCUGUACAAACCCGUAUCAUGGCUACAGAUGCCAGCAAUACGGGUUAGGGCGCCGUUUUGGCUCACCGCGUGCAGACGGUAAAGAGAGACCCAUAGCUAAUGCGAGCCGAAUGCCAAUAGCCACUGAAUCUUAAUACCCCAGGUAGACAAAUAUGCCCUUUCAAUAGUGUGGGCCGUAUAAAAAUUGUUCCUUUACUUCUAUGCCCACCAUUUCACACUUAUUACGUAUCACAUACUAUUUACCCAAAUGUUGGAUCCGCCUAAAUCCCUACCUGUUUUGUGCAUCAGUCGUAUGACAAACUAUGCUAAUUUCCUGAGCGACUUUAAUGGAGAUGUCGUGUUCAAGACUACGAAGGCCAACGCCAAUAUGGAUUAUAGGCGUUGGCCUUCGUUGGCCAAUGAUGGGAAUGUCGUGAAAAGGAUAAUGGAAGUCGAACACUAUGAUUUCGAUUUGUUCGUAAUAAAACAACUGCCAUCAAAUGCGCAUGGAGUGGGUUUGGUAAUACGCAAACACGUGGAGCUGGGAGAGAUAUUGAGGAUUCUGGAGAGCAUAUGGCUAUGCAUACAGUAUUAGAUUGAGGUCAAAACAGCCCCGACGUGUAGCUCAACCGCUACAAUCAAUAUCCUCGAUGAACCAUUCGCCAUCUACGGGGUACAGAAUACAGUCACUUCGGACAAAGAAACAUACUUUGCAUCAGCUGAAUUCAAUGAGUUACUCACAAAUAUGUUCAGGGUACCAUACCAAUCAUCCACUAAUGGCCAGACAGAACGAUCAGUGCAAACAGUUAAAGGUGUACUCAAGGCAAUGGGUUCAAACAGAAGCAUUUGAGUACACAACUGACAAACCGCCUGCAAUAUUGUUUAUUGGACGAAUGUUAUGGACCUAUUUGGAUUUACGUCUACCUCCGGAUUUGACACCAAAGAUUACUGAGAAGCAGUAUAGACAAUUUAAUGCAACCUUCCGCAGUUUUGAACCAAUACAACAACAACUCCCGUUUAAACAAAUGGUUGCCAGGAUUGAUACGAUGCAAAGAGCAUUUAACGCCUUGUUGAGUAAGUCCGAUGUCUCAACGAAUCGGAAAUACAAUACAUCCCAAUAUAAUUGUUCCACUACAUCCCUUCGAGAUGCUACUGUCGAUUUUCAACAGCUCAAUCGAUCUUUCAAGUAAUUGCCUCUAAGGGAGAGAAGGAAGGCGAUGAGAAUUAUUCUAAUGAGAACAAGCGAAAACGACACCAACAGGGAACUUGAACCAAGAGCUGGAAAUCAGGGGAACCAAGUUCCAGUACGUAGAUCCAUCAGUGUUGGAGCCGCACAAUAAGAUACUCGCCAGAAUGAAGACUGAUGUGGAAGAGGAGUGUUAGUUAAUUUAAUUGUUCGUAUCUUAUAAAAACAUCAUUAAUGUAAAAUUAUUACAUUUUCUUUUAAUUAAUAAACUCCUAGUGAAAGUAAAACUA